GUCAGUGGUUCGAAGCCUAUUGAUAUCAAUCUAGUUAUUUAUUUUUUUAAAUUCCUGGCACUGCUGCAUGAUCGGGCAUUAGCACCGGUCGGGAAGGGCCUGUUGCCCCGGUUCCCGAGCCGGUGCUGCCCUUCCGGGACUAAAGGCCCACCCUUUAGUCCCGGUUCGGCCAACCGGUGCUAAAGGCUCCCCCUUUAACACCGGUUGGUAACACCA
rnacentral:lncRNA from 1 species